rnacentral:rRNA from 1 species
GACGAACGCUGGCGGCGUGCUCAACACAUGCAAGUCGAACGGAAAGGCCCUGCUUUUGUGGGGUGCUCGAGUGGCGAACGGGUGAGUAACACGUGAGUAACCUGCCCUUGACUUUGGGAUAACUUCAGGAAACUGGGGCUAAUACCGGAUAGGAGCUCCUGCUGCAUGGUGGGGGUUGGAAAGUUUCGGCGGUGGGGAUGGACUCGCGGCUUAUCAGCUUGUUGGUGGGGUAGUGGCUUACCAAGGCUUUGACGGGUAGCCGGCCUGAGAGGGUGACCGGCCACAUUGGGACUGAGAUACGGCCCAGACUCCUACGGGAGGCAGCAGUGGGGAAUAUUGCACAAUGGGCGGAAGCCUGAUGCAGCAACGCCGCGUGCGGGAUGACGGCCUUCGGGUUGUAAACCGCUUUCGCCUGUGACGAAGCGUGAGUGACGGUAAUGGGUAAAGAAGCACCGGCUAACUACGUG